AGUCGAGCGGGGAAGGUAGCUUGCUACUUAACCUAGCGGCGGACGGGUGAGUAAUGCUUAGGAAUCUGCCUAUUAGUGGGGGACAACAUCUCGAAAGGGAUGCUAAUACCGCAUACGUCCUACGGGAGAAAGCAGGGGACCUUCGGGCCUUGCGCUAAUAGAUGAGCCUAAGUCGGAUUAGCUAGUUGGUGGGGUAAAGGCCUACCAAGGCGACGAUCUGUAGCGGGUCUGAGAGGAUGAUCCGCCACACUGGGACUGAGACACGGCCCAGACUCCUACGGGAGGCAGCAGUGGGGAAUAUUGGACAAUGGGGGGAACCCUGAUCCAGCCAUGCCGCGUGUGUGAAGGAGGCCUUUUGGUUGUAAAGCACUUUAAGCGAGGAGGAGGCUACCGAGAUUAAUACUCUUGGAUAGUGGACGUUACUCGUAGAAUAAGCACCGGCUAACUCUGUGCCAGCAGCCGCGGUAAUACAGAGGGUGCAAGCGUUAAUCGGAUUUACUGGGCGUAAAGCGCGCGUAGGUGGCCAAUUAAGUCAAAUGUGAAAUCCCCGAGCUUAACUUGGGAAUUGCAUUCGAUACUGGUUGGCUAGAGUAUGGGAGAGGAUGGUAGAAUUCCAGGUGUAGCGGUGAAAUGCGUAGAGAUCUGGAGGAAUACCGAUGGCGA
rnacentral:rRNA from 1 species